AUUGAACGCUGGCGGCAGGCCUAACACAUGCAAGUCGAGCGGCAGCGGGAAAGUAGCUUGCUACUUUUGCCGGCGAGCGGCGGACGGGUGAGUAAUGCCUGGGAAAUUGCCCAGUCGAGGGGGAUAACAGUUGGAAACGACUGCUAAUACCGCAUACGCCCUACGGGGGAAAGCAGGGGACUUUCGGGCCUUGCGCGAUUGGAUAUGCCCAGGUGGGAUUAGCUAGUUGGUGAGGUAAUGGCUCACCAAAGCGACGAUCCCUAGCUGGUCUGAGAGGAUGAUCAGCCACACUGGAACUGAGACACGGUCCAGACUCCUACGGGAGGCAGCAGUGGGGAAUAUUGCACAAUGGGGGAAACCCUGAUGCAGCCAUGCCGCGUGUGUGAAGAAGGCCUUCGGGUUGUAAGGCACUUUCAGCGAGGAGGAAAGGUCAGUAGCUAAUAUCUGCUGACUGUGACGUUACUCGCAGAAGAAGCACCGGCUAACUCCGUGCCAGCCGCCGCGGUAACAC
rnacentral:rRNA from 1 species